GAUCCUGGCUCAGGAUGAACGCUGGCGGCGUGCCUAACACAUGCAAGUCGAACGGACUUUUCGUGAAGCCUAGCGAUUGAAAAGUUAGUGGCGGACGGGUGAGUAACGCGUGGGUAACCUGCCUUGUACUGGGGGACAACAGUUGGAAACGACUGCUAAUACCGCAUAAGCGCACAGCUUCGCAUGAAGCAGUGUGAAAAACUCCGGUGGUACAAGAUGGACCCGCGUCUGAUUAGCUGGUUGG
rnacentral:rRNA from 1 species